AGUGGGGAAUAUUGGACAAUGGGCGAAAGCCUGAUCCAGCAACGCCGCGUGAGUGAUGAAGGCCUUCGGGUUGUAAAACUCUUUCAGUAGGGAAGAUAAUGACGGUACCUACAGAAGAAGCUCCGGCUAACUUCGUGCCAGCAGCCGCGGUAAUACGAAGGGAGCUAGCGUUACUCGGAAUUAUUGGGCGUAAAGCGUGCGUAGGCGGUUUUAACAGUCGGAAGUGAAAGCCUGAGGCUCAACCUCAGAAUUGCUUUCGAUACUAUAAAACUUGAGUAUUAGAGGGGAUAGCGGAAUUCUUAGUGUAGAGGUGAAAUUCGUAGAUAUUAAGAGGAACACCGGUGGCGAAGGCGGCUAUCUGGCUAAAUACUGACGCUGUUGCACGAAAGCGUGGGGAGCAAA
rnacentral:rRNA from 1 species